AUUGGUGAGGCGAAUUUUCAUGGGGUUUGCAGUUUGAAAAAAUUCUUCGUUGAGGAUAGAUCGCUAUUUUUUAGGAGUAAUUUUAAAUUCGAACGAGUUCAACGAUUUUUUCGUGAACAGAACAAAACAAAUCGAUCAAAAUGUUCAAGAGCCAUUUGGAAAUGAUUGGGCGCAACGAGAGCCCCAGCAAGAAGGCCAAGUUCUGGCAAUCCUACAUCAGGUCCCUGAAGGGCUCUGAGGAUAUCCGCGCCCACGAGGCGCCAAGGGCUUCUCGUCCCUACAGCUCCUACCUGGAGUCGCCCACAUACAGGAGCAUCUAUGACGAGCCCUCCACCGCCAACGAGCGUGUCCAGUCCUCUGGCUACAGAUAUCUGCCAGUGAGCCGUGACACCUACGGCUACUCGCCACGUGCCAUCUACGAUCAUCACUACAGCCGAACAAUUCCAGCUAACUACGAUGCAGAGAAGGCCUGGAAUGAUCAUCUGAAGCGCAUGCAGGAGAUCGAGCGCAGGUACCCAUCUCGCUAUGGUCUGUACUUGAAGGACAAGCCACUCACCCCCAACGCUCUGGUGCCCCUGGAGUACGAGCCAGAGGACAAGCUUCUGGCGGAGCUCAACAAGGCUCGUCGCUCGGCCUCUCCGUUCCGCCCCAGCCGCACCACCCGCGCUGGCAGCGAGCCGUACGUGCCCCCACCAACCUAUUGGGGCCGCGAGGGCAGCGUGCCCCGCGGACCAUCGGUCUUCGACCGUGCCACCAGCUUGGCUCCGUUCACGCGUCCCAGCUUCCGCGCCAGCUCGCUGGAACCCCUGGAUGAACUCUUUGAAAUUUAAAAAACAUAGCAAAAACAAAAAAUAUUUUUCUUUCUGCUCUUCUUGUAUUCAUUGCAACUACAACAACCAACAAUGCAAACAAACAAACACUUAUUGAAACCCCAACAAUAUCUGGUUGCAACAUCAAAACGCACAACAACACCACAAUGAAACAAUAUCAUAAAAAUAAACGUUGAAACACUACCAUCUCUGAUGACUAAAUACUGCUACUGAAAAUGCCAACAAAUAGGACUUCCGAUCUUCCACCCACGCAACCGCUUCAGGGAUCUGCUGAGCCCCAGCCCCAACUUGCCGGUCUCCUCGAUCGUGCGCGAUCCCUUCUGGUGGGACGUGGAUGACCUGGUGCCCUUCCGUGCCACCUCGGUGCCCCGUGCCUCGAGCCCCGUGGCCCGUGAUUCGUACUUGUCGCCGGUGAAGAAUCGCUACUUGUGGUCCAAGCACCCCGCCAGACCCUUGACACCUGAGGAAGAGGAUUUUUUCUAAAAUAAAUCUCUAGAUACAAAAUCACAAAUCGUUUAGCUAUAAUAACAAAGCGACGCUAUAUCAAUCAUAUAGCAAUUCUGUAAUUUUUUUGUACUUAAUUUUACAUAAAUUACAUGUAACGAACUGUAAAAAAAAGCAAAUUGCUCACCGCUCAAUUUUGUAAACGAACGAAACAACGAACUUUUCAACAACAAGAACAUCC
rnacentral:misc_RNA from 1 species